rnacentral:rRNA from 1 species
UACGUAGGGUGCAAGCGUUGUCCGGAAUUAUUGGGCGUAAAGAGCUCGUAGGCGGUCUGUCGCGUCUGCUGUGAAAACUCGGGGCUUAACCCCGGGCCUGCAGUGGGUACGGGCAGACUAGAGUGCGGUAGGGGAGACUGGAAUUCCUGGUGUAGCGGUGAAAUGCGCAGAUAUCAGGAGGAACACCAGUGGCGAAGGCGCCGCUCUGGGCCGAGACUGACGCUGAGGAGCGAAAGCGUGGGUAGCAAACAGG